UACAGAGGUCUCAAGCGUUGUUCGGAUUCAUUGGGCGUAAAGGGUGCGUAGGUGGCAUGGUAAGUCGGAUGUGAAAUCCCGGGGCUCAACCCCGGAACUGCAUUCGAUACUGCUGCGCUAGAGUACUGGAGAGGAGAUUGGAAUUUACGGUGUAGCAGUGAAAUGCGUAGAUAUCGUAAGGAAGACCGGUGGCGAAGGCGGGAUCUCUGGGCAGUAACUGACGCUGAGGAGCGAAAGGCCAGGGUGGUAG
rnacentral:rRNA from 1 species